rnacentral:rRNA from 1 species
UACGUAGGGGGCAAGCGUUGUCCGGAAUCAUUGGGCGUAAAGAGCGUGUAGGCGGUUUGGUAAGUCCGCUGUGAAAGUCCAGGGCCACCACCGUGAAUGCCAGUGGAAACUCCCAAGCUAGAGUCCGGAAGAGGCGAGUGGAACUCCUGGUGUAGCGGUGAAAUGCGCAGAUAUCAGGAAGAACACCAAUGGCGAAGGCAGCUCGCUGGGACGGUACUGACGCUGAGACGCGAAAGCGUGGGGAG